rnacentral:rRNA from 1 species
ACACUGACGUCGCGACGCAUAUCAAUAAGCGGAGGAAAAGAAACUAACAAGGAUUCCCUUAGUAACGGCGAGUGAAGCGGGAAGAGCUCAAAUUUGAAAUCUUCAAGGUUCUACCUUGACGAAUUGUAGUUUAUAGAAGUGUUUUCUGUUAGUGGAGUGGCAAAAGUUCUUUGGAAUAGGACAUCAUAGAGGGUGAGAAUCCCGUAUUUGGUCAUUCCUCCUAGCGUUGUGAUACACUUUCAACGAGUCGGAUUGUUUGGGAAUGCAGUCCAAAAUGGGUGGUAAACUUCAUCUAAAGCUAAAUAUUGGCGAGAGACCGAUAGCGAACAAGUACCGUGAGGGAAAGAUGAAAAGAACUUUGAAAAGAGAGUUAAACAGUACGUGAAAUUGUCAAAAGGGAAGCGUUUGACACCAGUGUUGUUUUUCCGAAAAUCAAUUACGAAUGUUUUAUUUUUGAGGAGUUAUGACUUCAUCGGCUUGCUCUCUUCUUUACUGAAACUUUCUUAAUGCACUUUUCGGUUAACAAGUCAACAUCAAUUUCUUUUGUUGUAAAAGGGUAUGAGGAAGGUGGCUUUCUUUUCGGAGAAAGUGUUUAUAGCCUUGUGCCUCUGCAAUCGGAGAGAUUGAGGUCUGCAGCGUAGAUCCUUCGGGGUUAGAUACGUUUGUGCUAAGUUAUAGCCUUUUCAUAGACAACUUGUUGACUAUGUUUAGUCUUGUAGCUUACUCGCUUACGCUAUUUUACCUACGCUUAGGAUGUUGACACACGCGCGUGCUCG